UUAUUUGAGAGUUUGAUCCUGGCUCAGGAUGAACGCUGGCGGCGUGCCUAACACAUGCAAGUCGAACGAAGCGCCUUAAGAGAUUCUU
rnacentral:ncRNA from 1 species